rnacentral:rRNA from 1 species
GACGAACGCUGGCGGCGUGCUUAACACAUGCAAGUCGAACGGAAAGGCCCUGCUUGCAGGGUACUCGAGUGGCGAACGGGUGAGUAACACGUGGGUGAUCUGCCCUGCACUUCGGGAUAAGCCUGGGAAACUGGGUCUAAUACCGGAUAGGAGCCAUUUUUAGUGUGAUGGUUGGAAAGUUUUUUCGGUGUAGGAUGAGCUCGCGGCCUAUCAGCUUGUUGGUGGGGUAAUGGCCUACCAAGGCGGCGGCGGGUAGCCGGCCUGAGAGGGUGGACGGCCACCUUGGGGCUGAGAUACGGCCCAGACUCCUACGGGAGGCAGCAGUGGGGAAUAUUGCACAAUGGGCGCAAGCCGGAUGCAGCGACGCCGCGUGGGGGAUGACGGCCUUCGGGUUGUAAACUCCUUUCGCUAGGGACGAAGCUUUUUGUGACGGUACCUAGAUAAGAAGCACCGGCUAACUACGUG